AUGGACGCACCGCUGGUGUACCAGUUGUCUUGCCAAAGGCAUAGCUGGGUAGCUAUGUGCGGAAGGGAUAAGUGCUGAAAGCAUCUAAGCAUGAAGCCCCCCUCAAGAUGAGAUUUCCCUGUUACUUUGUAACGUAAGAUCCCUGAAAGAUGAUCAGGUUGAUAGGUCAGAGGUGGAAGCGCGGUGACGUGUGGAGCUGACUGAUACUAAUCGAUCGAGGACUUAACCUAAUACAA
rnacentral:rRNA from 1 species